rnacentral:tRNA from 1 species
GGAGAGGUGGCCGAGCGGCUUAAGGCGGCACCCUGCUAAGGUGUUGGGGGCAUUGCCCCUCGUGGGUUCGAAUCCCACCCUCUCCGCCA